AGAGUUUGAUCAUGGCUCAGGACGAACGCUGGCGGCGUGCCUAAUACAUGCAAGUCGAACGCGUCUCCGUUAAUGAUUUUAGGUGCUUGCACUUGAAAGAUUUAACAUUGAGACGAGUGGCGAACUGGUGAGUAACACGUGGGUAACCUGCCCUUGAAGUAGGGGAUAACACUUGGAAACAGGUGCUAAUACCGUAUAACAACCAAAACCACCUGGUUUUGGUUUAAAAGACGGCUUCGGCUGUCACUUUAGGAUGGACCCGCGGCGUAUUAGCUUGUUGGUAAGGUAACGGCCUACCAAGGCGAUGAUACGUAGCCGACCUGAGAGGGUAAUCGGCCACAUUGGGACUGAGACACGGCCCAAACUCCUACGGGAGGCAGCAGUAGGGAAUCUUCCACAAUGGACGAAAGUCUGAUGGAGCAACGCCGCGUGAGUGAUGAAGGGUUUCGGCUCGUAAAACUCUGUUGUUGGAGAAGAACAGGUGUCAGAGYAACUGUUGACAUCUUGACGGUAUCCAACCAGAAAGCCACGGCUAACUACGUGCCAGCAGCCGCGGUAAUACGUAGGUGGCAAGCGUUGUCCGGAUUUAUUGGGCGUAAAGCGAGCGCAGGCGGUUUUUUAGGUCUGAUGUGAAAGCCUUCGGCUUAACCGGAGAAGUGCAUCGGAAACCGGGAGACUUGAGUGCAGAAGAGGACAGUGGAACUCCAUGUGUAGCGGUGAAAUGCGUAGAUAUAUGGAAGAACACCAGUGGCGAAGGCGGCUGUCUGGUCUGUAACUGACGCUGAG
rnacentral:rRNA from 1 species